rnacentral:rRNA from 1 species
AUUGAACGCUGGCGGCAUGGCUAAAACAUGCAAGUCGAACGCGAACGGGGGCAACCCCUAGUAGAGUGGCGAAAGGGCGAGGAAUAAAUUCCUACGUACCCAGAGGUCGGGGAUACCCCGGAGAAAUCCGGGACAAUACCCGAUGUGGUCCGCAAUGAUCAAAGGUUUACUGCCUCUGGAGCGGGGAAUUUCCUAUCAGG